CGAGAGAGAGCUUGCUUUCUCAAGCGAGUGGCGAACGGGUGAGUAACGCGUGAGGAACCUGCCUCAAAAAAGGGGGGACAACAGUUGGAAACGACUGCUAAUACCGCAUAAGCCCACAGGUCGGCAUCGACCAGAGGGAAAAGGAGCAAUCCGCUUUGAGAUGGCCUCGCGUCCGAUUAGCUAGUUGGUGAGGUAAUGGCCCACCAAGGCAACGAUCGGUAGCCGGACUGAGAGGGUUGAACGGGCCACAUUGGGGACUGAGACACGGCCCAGACUCC
rnacentral:rRNA from 1 species